CUGGUUAACCGGCCGGCCCAUAUCGGUUCUCAGGCCCAUGGCCUCUUUUAUCCCAACGCGAGCGCCUGAAUUUGUUAGCCCACAAGCUCCCACAUCUGUUGGUUCGUGCAACGAUGAACCGACUGCCGAGACGGCGGUCGGCGGCGCUCCCCCCUUCUCCCUGCAGCGAUCUGUCGUCUGCGGCGGCCGGAGCUAGGAUCCCUCUCCGGACGACGACGCGGGCAUCGGAGAGGCAUGCAUGCGGGUUGCCCUGCGAGGAUAUGUUGCUACCUCAUCAGGAUCGCGAUCGAGGAGUGAGAGCGGCUGGCCGCGGGGAUGGGCGGAUUCUGCCGUUGAUCAGGUUCGAUAGUGGUGGGACGUGUGUUUUGCGUCUGAUUUUCCUUUACCUUCCCAUUCAAGCGCUUCCUUUACAAGUUAAAGUUUCUGUAGUUUGAGGACAAAAAAUGAGCAACGUUAAUUGUUGUAGUCAUCGUAUCCGGUUAAUCUUACAUGCCGAAAUUUGGAUACUAA